UCUUUGCGCGGGCGGCCUGUGCUGUAGCCGGUUCGGCUGGUGUGGAAACACCGCGGCGUACUGCGACCGGGCACAGGGAUGCCAGAGUCAGUGCUGGGGCGGGCCGACCCCCACGCCUUCUACGCCUACCCCCUCCACUGGCGUUGCCUCGAUCGUUAGCCAGGCCCUGUUCGAGCAAAUGCUGCUGCACCGCAACGAUGCGGCUUGCCCCGCGAGGAACUUCUACACUUACAGCGCCUUCAUCACCGCGGCGAACUCUUUCCCCGCGUUCGGAACGACGGGGGACCUCGCCACCCGCAAGAGGGAGAUCGCCGCCUUCUUCGGACAGACCUCUCAUGAAACUACGGGUG
rnacentral:lncRNA from 1 species